CCGAGUGAGGGCGUCCGACGCCCGACCUCCAACCCUUUGUCGAUUGAACCUUUGUUGCCUCGGGGACGACCCGGCCCUCCGUGGGCGUCGGGGCCCCCGGUGGACCAUCCAACUCUGCAUCUGUGCGUCGGAGUCAUAAAGUAAAUUGAAUCA
rnacentral:misc_RNA from 1 species